GCUAGAGGCUAGGGUCUGGAACCUAGAAGCUAGAGGCUAGUGUCUGGAGACUAGAGGCUAGCUUCUUCUUCUUCUUCUUCUUCUUCUUCUUCUUCUAUUGGAGGCUGUCAGGUCCAGAUGGAUGGAGGCUUUAUUAGGUGGCUAGAGGCUACGGUCUGGAGCAUUUGGUCUGGGGGCUAGAGGCUAGGGUCUGGAGUCUAGAGGCUAGGGUCUGGAGUCUAGAGGCUAGGGUCUGGAGCAUUUGGUCUGGGGGCUAGAGCCUGGGGUCUGGAGCCUUUGGUCUGGAGGCUGUUUGGAGGCAGUGGUCUGGGAGCCGGGGUAUGAAGCAGUGUGACCCAUUAUGUUUAAUGAUUAUGUUUAAUGAUGGCUGUUCGGAGCACAGUGGGCCCCUCGUCCUCCACUCUGGAUGUGUUUAUUUAUGUCCUAUCGACCCACGACCCACGGUCACAUCGACCCAUGGCAAACAGAGAUCCUAUCGGCCAACAGAGAUCUUAUUGACCCAUGGCCAACAGAGAUCCUAUCGACCAACAGAGAUCUUAUUGACCCACGGCCAAUAGAG
ensembl:lncRNA